rnacentral:rRNA from 1 species
AUUGAACGCUGGCGGUAGGCCUAACACAUGCAAGUCGAACGGCAGCACAGUAAGAGCUUGCUCUUACGGUUGGCGAGUGGCGGACGGGUGAGGAAUACGUCGGAAUCUACUUUGUCGUGGGGGAUAACGUAGGGAAACUUACGCUAAUACCGCAUACGACCUACGGGGGAAAGCAGGGGAUCUUCGGACCUUGCGCGAUUGAAUGAGCCGAUGUCGGAUUAGCUAGUUGGCGGGGUAAAGGCCCACCAAGGCGACGAUCCGUAGCUGGUCUGAGAGGAUGAUCAGCCACACUGGGACUGAGACACGGUCCAGACUCCUACGGGAGGCAGCAGUGGGGAAUAUUGGACAAUGGGGGCAAGCCUGAUCCAGCCAUACCGCGUGGGUGAAGAAGGCCUUCGGGUUGUAAAGCCCUUUUGUUGGGAAAGAAAAGCAGCAGGUUAAUACCCCGCUGUUCUGACGGUACCCAAAGAAUAAGCACCGGCUAACUUCGUG